AGCUGGGGUUGACCCUCC
rnacentral:misc_RNA from 1 species